rnacentral:rRNA from 1 species
AGAGUUUGAUCCUGGCUCAGGACGAACGCUGGCGGCGUGCCUAAUACAUGCAAGUCGAGCGGACCAAUUAAGAAGCUUGCUUUUUGAUUGGUUAGCGGCGGACGGGUGAGUAACACGUGGGUAACCUGCCCUAUAGACUGGGAUAACUCGCGGAAACGUGAGCUAAUACCGGAUAACACAUCAAAGUGCAUGCUUUGAUGUUGAAAGAUGGUUCUGCUAUCACUAUAGGAUGGGCCCGCGGCGCAUUAGCUAGUUGGUGGGGUAACGGCCUACCAAGGCGACGAUGCGUAGCCGACCUGAGAGGGUGAUCGGCCACACUGGGACUGAGACACGGCCCAGACUCCUACGGGAGGCAGCAGUAGGGAAUCUUCCACAAUGGGCGAAAGCCUGAUGGAGCAACGCCGCGUGAGCGAAGAAGGUCUUCGGAUCGUAAAG